rnacentral:lncRNA from 1 species
UAUUAAAAGAUUACAAGGGGAAUAGUUUUUCAUUUUAGAAUGUAAAAAGAUUAUAAGGGGAACAUGUUUUUCAUUUCAAAAUAUAAAUGAAAGACAAUGAACUAAUUUCCAUUGCUCCUCCUAAUAGGCUUAGUCCUAUACUUCAUUUUGGAAUGUAAUUAAAAGACAAGAAUUUGAUACAUUCUCAUGAUAACUAAUUUUAAGAAACCUCCCCAUUAGACCUAUAUGCUAGGCUCAUCACAAU